rnacentral:tRNA from 1 species
ACUGUUUUGGCAGAAUUUUAGUGCGUUAAACUUAGGAUUUAUCUAUGUAAUUUUUAUUACAAUCAGUA